rnacentral:rRNA from 1 species
UACUAGCUGUCCAAGUCGCAACCAUCUUUAUUGGGUCUAAAACAUCCGUAGCUUGUUUAGCAAGUUCCUUGUGAAAUCCGAUAUCUUAAGUAUCGGGCGUGCAAGGAGUACUACUAGGCUAGAGACUGGAAGACGUAAGAAGUACGUUUGAAGUAGCGGUUAAAUGCGUUAAUCUUAGACGGACUCACAACAGCGAAGGCAUCUUACGAGGACAGUUCUGACAGUGAGGGAUGAAGGCUCGGGGC